CUUUUUGUGACCCAGAGGGAAUUAUCCUCCCAUCCCUCCCAAGCCAUUAGCCCAGACAGUGAAGCCAUGGAAGCGACCUCUGCUGCACAUUUUUCAAGCCUCCCUACUCCAUCCCGAAGGCUCUCUCAGAUAAGGCGGAGGAAAAAGAAGACGCGAGACGAAAUGUUCUCUGAAAUCAUGGAAGUAACCCGCAAUGAAAGAGCUCAUCUGAAAGAGUGGAAGGACGUGGUAGCAAAGUACAGGAAAGAUGCCAGUGAACGUGAGGACAGGAGGGACCAACGUGAGGAUAGGAGGGAUGAACGUGAGGAUAGGAGAGACGCUCAAGAUGAGAGGUGGCGGCAGGAAGAUCAGCGGUGGCGGGAUGCAACACUGGAGCUGCUGCGUGAUCAAACUGAUAUCCUCCGAUGUCUGGUGGAUCUUCAGGAAGAGCAGCAGGGUCACAGAGUGCCGCUGCAGCCCCUGUGUAACCACUCUCACCACUCACCAUGUUGCAUAUCUUCCUCACCCAGACGUGUAAGAACACAUGGGGGAAGGC